rnacentral:rRNA from 1 species
GACGAACGCUGGCGGCGGGCCUAAUACAUGCAAGUCGAACGCGUGGCGGACGGGUGAGUAACACGUGGGUAACUAUCCAUCAGAGGGGGAUAACUAUUGGAAACGAUAGCUAAUACCGCAUACUAGUAGAUGGACCUGCGUUGUAUUGGCCAGUAGGUAGGGUAAUGGCCUACCUAGGCGACGUUACAUAGCCGACCUGAGAGGGUGAUCGGCCACACUGGGACGUAGGCACGGCGCCGACCACGUCGGGAGGCAGCAGUAGGGAAGCUUCGGGUAGUGGGGGAAACCGGACCGAGCAAGUCGGCGUGAGUGAAGAAGGUUGUCGGAUCGGAAAGCUCUGUUGUUAAGGGAGCGGUACCUAACCAGAAAGGGACGGCUAACUCCGUGCCAGCAGCCGCGGUAAUAC